GACGAACGCUGGCGGCGUGCUUAACACAUGCAAGUCGAACGAUGAAGCUGGAGCUUGCUCCGGUGGAUUAGUGGCGAACGGGUGAGUAACACGUGAGAAAUCCGCCCUUGACUCUGGGAUAACUGCGGGAAACUGUAGCUAAUACCGGAUACUUUCCCUGGUGGGCAUCCACUGGGGAAGAAAGAAUUUCGGUCAAGGAUGAUCUCGCGGCCGAUCAGCUAGUUGGUGAGGUAAUGGCUCACCAAGGCGACGACGGGUAGCCGGCCUGAGAGGGUGACCGGCCACACUGGGACUGAGACACGGCCCAGACUCCUACGGGAGGCGGCAGUGGGGAAUAUUGCACAAUGGGCGCAAGCCUGAUGCAGCAACGCCGCGUGAGGGAUGAAGGCCUUCGGGUUGUAAACCUCUUUUAGCAGGGAAGAAGCGAAAGUGACGGUACCUGCAGAAAAAGCACCGGCUAACUACGUGCCAGCAGCCGCCGUAAAAC
rnacentral:rRNA from 1 species